UACGUAGGUGGCAAGCGUUGUCCGGAAUUAUUGGGCGUAAAGCGCGCGCAGGUGGUUUCUUAAGUCUGAUGUGAAAACCCACGGCUCAACCGUGGAGGGUCAUUGGAAACUGGGGAACUUGAGUGCAGAAGAGGAAAGUGGAAUUCCAAGUGUAGCGGUGAAAUGCGUAGAGAUUUGGAGGAACACCAGUGGCGAAGGCGACUUUCUGAUCUGUAACUGACACUGAGGCGCGAAAGCGUGGGGAGCAAACAGG
rnacentral:rRNA from 1 species